rnacentral:rRNA from 1 species
GACGAACGCUGGCGGCGUGCUUAACACAUGCAAGUCGAACGGUAAGGCCCUUCGGGGUACACGAGUGGCGAACGGGUGAGUAACACGUGGGUGAUCUGCCCUGCACUUCGGGGUAAGCCUGGGAAACUGGGUCUAAUACCGGAUAGGACCCUGGGAUGCAUGUCCUGGGGUGGGAAGCUUUUGCGGUGUGGGAUGGGCCCGCGGCCUAUCAGCUUGUUGGUGGGGUGAUGGCCUACCAAGGCGACGACGGGUAGCCGGCCUGAGAGGGUGACCGGCCACACUGGGACGGAGAUACGGCCCAGACUCCUACGGGAGGCAGCAGUGGGGAAUAUUGCACAAUGGGCGCAAGCCUGAUGCAGCGACGCCGCGUGAGGGAUGACGGCCUUCGGGUUGUAAACCUCUUUCAGCACCGACGAAGCGCAAGUGACGGUAGGUGCAGAAGAAGGACCGGCCAACUACGUGCCAGCAGCCGCCGCCG